rnacentral:misc_RNA from 1 species
GGGCAAAACAACUGAGGUGAUUCGCGGAUAACAAACCAUCGGCAGAUAUUCAUAAGUGCCGAUGUUUUGUAACAUUUGGCUCCAAUGUUUCAUUACUGAGUCAAUUCAACAGCAGUCUGAUCCAUUAAUGCGCCAAUACCAAUAAAAUUG